UCUGGUGUGCACAACAAUAUCAUCUUUGGACAAGUGCAUUCAGUGUGUGGGACCGGUUUCCUCCCUCAAGUGGCUUGGCUAUAAGUGCAAAGUUUGUUUAGGGGUCUGGCACAAAUCCUGCCUUGCAAAAUUGUCAAAUCAGAAUUGUCACCAGUCAACACAGAAAGAAGAAAUUUCUGAAUAUUCAGGGGAAGAUGGAUUGCCACAUUCAGUUCUGGAUCAAAUAUCAAGCGAUGAUGAUGGCAACCACAGCAUAUCAG